AUUGAACGCUGGCGGCAUGCUUUACACAUGCAAGUCGAACGGCAGCGCGGGCUUCGGCCUGGCGGAGAGUGGCGAACGGGUGAGUAAUGCAUCGGAACGUGCCCAGUAGUGGGGGAUAGCCCGGCGAAAGCCGGAUUAAUACCGCAUACGACCUGAGGGUGAAAGCGGGGGACCGAAAGGCCUCGCGCUAUUGGAGCGGCCGAUGUCGGAUUAGCUAGUUGGUGGGGUAAAGGCUUACCAAGGCGACGAUCCGUAGCUGGUCUGAGAGGACGACCAGCCACACUGGGACUGAGACACGGCCCAGACUCCUACGGGAGGCAGCAGUGGGGAAUUUUGGACAAUGGGGGCAACCCUGAUCCAGCCAUGCCGCGUGCGGGAAGAAGGCCUUCGGGUUGUAAACCGCUUUUGUUCGGGAAGAAAUCCUCUGGGCUAAUACCCCGGGGGGAUGACGGUACCGGAAGAAUAAGCACCGGCUAACUACGUG
rnacentral:rRNA from 1 species